AGGAAUGUGAUGAAUCAUAGUAAUCGAACGAAUCGCAGGUAUAUGCGAUAAGUCAUUCAAGUUUCUGCCCUAUCAGCUUUGGAUGGUAGUGUAUUGGACUACCAUGGCAGUCACGGGUAACGGAGAAUUAGGGUUCGAUUCCGGAGAGGGAGCCUGAGAAACGGCUACCACAUCUACGGAAGGCAGCAGGCGCGAAAAUUGCCCAAUCCUGACACGGGGAGGCAGUGACAAGAAAUAACAACUCUAGGUUUUCUUAGAAGUGUAAUGAGGAUAAUUUACAAACCUUACCAAAUGCAAUUGGAGGGCAAGUCUGGUGCCAGCAGCCGCGGUAAUUCCAGCUCCAAUAGCGUAUAUUAAAGUUGUUGCAGUUAAAAAGCUCGUAGUUGAAAUUCUGAUUGUUCGGGUUUUUAGCCUUUAGGCGGAAAUACCGACAGUCAUCCGCUUGCAAACAUACGUUUGACCUUAACCAGUUGACUAUGUGAGUAAGCAUUUUACCUUGAGAAAAACAGAGUGUUCCAGGCAGGUUUGUCCGGAAUGCAUUAGCAUGGAAUAAUAGAACAUGACUGAAGUCUAUUUAUUGGUUAAAGGCUUUAGUAAUGAUUAAUAGGAACAGUCGGGGGCAUUCGUACUCAGCAGUCAGAGGUGAAAUUCUAAGAUUUGCUGAAGACGAACUAAUGCGAAAGCAUUUGCCAAGGAUGUUUUCAUUAAUCAAGAACGAAAGUUAGGGGAUCAAAGACGAUCAGAUACCGUCCUAGUCUUAACUAUAAACGAUACCGACUCGGAUUCAGAUGAAUCAAAAUGUUCAUUUGGGACCGUAGGAGAAAUCAAAGUCUUUGGGUUCUGGGGGGAGUAUGGUCGCAAGGCUGAAACUUAAAGGAAUUGACGGUUUUGCACCACCAUGGAGUGGAGUUUGCGGCUUAAUUUGACAACACUGGGAAACUCAUCAGGGCAAGAAGAUUUUAGGAUUGACAGAUUGAGAGUUCUUUCUUGAUUGGUCUAGUGGUGGUGCAUGGCCGUUCUUAGUUGGUGGAGUGAUUUGUCUGGUUAAUUCCGUUAACGAACGAGACCUUAACCUGCUAACUAGUGUUCCGAUCUCAAAUCGGAAGCACUUCUUAGAGGGACUAUGUGAUGUAAUCACAUGGAAGUUUGAGGCAAUAACAGGUCUGUGAUGCCCUUAGAUGUCCUGAGCUGCACGCGUACUACAAUGGCACUUUCAACGAGUUUUUCCUGAUCCGAAAGGAUUUGGGUAAUCUUUUUAGUGAGUGCCGUGAUUGGGAUAGAUCUUUGUAAUUGUGGAUCUUGAACUAGGAAUUCCUAGUAAGCGCGAUUCAUCAAAUCGUGCUGAUUACGUCCCUGCAAAAU
rnacentral:rRNA from 1 species